GGUCAAGCUAAUAAGAGCAUAGGGCGAAUGCCUUGGCACCAGAAGCCGAUGAAGGACGGGGUAAGCACCGAUAUGCUUCGGGGAGCUGCAAACAAGCUUUGAUCCGAGGAUCUCCGAAUGGGGAAACCUACCUAGAUUUUCUAGGUAUCAUCUACUGAAUACAUAGGUAGAUGAAGGGAUACCAGGGGAACUGAAACAUCUAAGUACCCUGAGGAAAAGAAAGAAAACUCGAUUUCCUAAGUAGCGGCGAGCGAAAGGGAAACAGCCUAAACCUAUUGAGUUUACUCUUUAGGGGUUGUGGACCAGCAUUUAAUAAGUUCUUCUUGUAACUGAAUGACCUGGAAAGGUCAACCGUAGAAGGUGAUAGUCCUGUAAGUGAAACUAGUUGACUUAUUGCUGGUAUCCGAAGUACCAUGGGGCACGUGAAAUCCUGUGGGAAGCUGGGAGGACCAUCUCCCAAGGCUAAAUACUAACUGGUGACCGAUAGUGAACAAGUACCGUGAGGGAAAGGUGAAAAGAACCCCGGAAGGGGAGUGAAAUAGAAUCUGAAACCCUAUGUUUACAAGCAGUGGAAGCACUUUAUAUGUGCGACCGCGUACUUUUUGUAGAACGGGCCAGCGAGUUACGAUAUAUAGCAAGGUUAAACUUUUUUAAAGUGAAGCCGUAGGGAAACCAAGUCUCAAUAGGGCGUUUAGUUGUAUGUCGUAGACCCGAAACCGGGUGACCUACCCAUGAGCAGAGCGAAACGAAAGUAAAAUUUCGUGGAGGCUCGAACCGUUUAGUGUUGAAAAACUAUCGGAUGACUUGUGGGUAGCGGUGAAAUUCCAAUCGAACCCGGAUAUAGCUGGUUCUCCUCGAAAUAGCUUUAGGGCUAGCCUCAAGAUAGUGACGUGGA
rnacentral:rRNA from 1 species